GGAGGAGGAGGAGGCGGAGGCAGUUUCCAUGAGGUGUGCCAUUUCACUCAGGAGCAAGAAGCAUGUGACAACCUUCAGCCUUCAGAGAACCACAAACUUUCCCCUUCUGCAGUAUGCGUCUGAAUUCUGUAAUCAUAGUUCAAUGCUAGGUCUUCAGGUCUUCCCCUCACGAUGGCUAAGGUUCCUGAAGCUCACUGUUUAUCUGACUUGGUGAGAAAAUGUCAGUGUCACCACGUCUGUAUCUGAUAGGCAAAUGUGACCUUGAUACCACAGUGUGAUAGAGAAGAGAGGCCUCACAGAACCCAUCUCACCAAGUAUCGAGGAGCUGACUAGACGCUGGAUCCUGUCUUCCUCUGCACAAAGCCAGACUGUAUAGGAUUUGCAACUGGAAUGAGUAUUCCUCAAGGAGCUGCCACAGGGAACAAGCAACAGAGUCAGCCUUCAUGAAGCCUGUGUCAGCGCAUCUCCUGCACACUGGGACAUGUGGCUCCCCAGGAAAGGAAUGGAUUUGGGCAGAGAGAGCUGGUGGAUUGCACAUGGCUUGAAGGAAUCCUUCAGACACUCUGCCAAAGAAAUGAAGACUUACAGAGCCUAGAAUCCAUGCUUCUCGGCCUGCUGCAUGUCUUCAUGUGCCUGCCUUGGCCUCAUUCUCCCAAUGUCUCCAAAUGUGAGACUCUGUUCUUGGCCACUUCCCACUCUGCUGAUAGUGCUCUUCCCAUGCUUCUGACCCAGACAUUAUUUAUUCGCAGCCCUGUCUGGUAUUGGAGCAGAUGAACCUAGCAUGUUCAGGAGCCCAGGUGGCCAGAUGAGCUAUAGAUUGCCUAGUUUUCCUAGAGAUUCUCAUCUGAGAGAACACCUAAGAAUAGACUUGCAUUUUCUCCAAUCCUUGCUUCCUUCAAGUUCCCUUCUUAGACCUUCUUCCAGCAGGUUUCUACAAGACCUCUGGUUACUAUCCUGUUCCCUUGUUUCUAUUAGGAACCUUAAUUUUUUUUCCACACAAAACACACACACACACACACACACACACACACACACACACACACACACACACACAGAUUCCCUCCCCCCUCCCCCAUAGGCAUCCUUCCUGAAAUUCUGAGGUCUUUAGCAUACUCCUUGAGGAUGUCCUCUGUGAAGUCUCUCUAAUCCCAUUGCCAGAGAGUUCUGAACUUCAGCAGAUACUCAUCUGCUCUCCCAUAACAGACAGGUUUCUUUUCAUCUUUCUUCUGGCCUAUGCUGAGCACUUGGCAGAACUGAAGCAACUAUUUAAUGCUAGAGAGGAGGCAAAGAUGCAAGUUUCUUGGAGUGGGACCCAGACCUUCAUGAGUUGUGGUUUGCUGCUUUGCACUUUCUAUGAUUUUGUUUUGCUUUGCUGCUUUGUAAUUCCUAACAGACCCUGGAAGUCUUUCUCUGAAGUUCAUAAAUAUUAAUGAUACCUUAAAUAAAGAGAAGCAUUGAUGCUCAGUCA